rnacentral:rRNA from 1 species
AGCGAACGCUGGCGGCAGGCUUAACACAUGCAAGUCGAGGGGAGCGGCAGACGGGUGAGUAACGCGAGGGAACGUAAAUUUUGGUUCGGAACAACACAGGGAAACUUGGGCUAAUCCCGGAUACCGAAAGAUCGGCCAGUGUCUGAUUAGCUAGUGGGUUAGGUACUGGCUCACCAAGGCGAAGAUCAGUAGCUGGUCUGAGAGGAUGAUCCGCCACAUUGGGACUGAGUCACGGCCCAGACGCCUACGGGAGGCAGCAGGGGGGAAGAUGGGACAAUGGGGUCAGCCCUGAUCCUGCCAGGCCGCUUGAGUGAUGAAGGCCGUAGGGUUGUAAAGCUCUUGUGUGCGGGAAGCGGUACCGCAAGAAUAAGCCCCGGCUAACUUCGUGCCAGCAGCCGCGGUAAUAC